rnacentral:rRNA from 1 species
UACGUAGGGUGCAAGCGUUAAUCGGAAUUACUGGGCGUAAAGCGUGCGCAGGCGGUUUUGUAAGUCUGAUGUGAAAUCCCCGGGCUCAACCUGGGAACUGCAUUUGUGACUGCACGGCUAGAGUGUGUCAGAGGGGGGUAGAAUUCCACGUGUAGCAGUGAAAUGCGUAGAGAUGUGGAGGAACACCGAUGGCGAAGGCAGCCCCCUGGGUCAAGAUUGACGCUCAUGCACGAAAGCGUGGGGAGCAAACAGG